GACGAACGCUGGCGGCGUGCUUAACACAUGCAAGUCGAACGGAAAGGCCCUGCUUUUGUGGGGUGCUCGAGUGGCGAACGGGUGAGUAACACGUGAGUAACCUGCCCUUGACUUUGGGAUAACUUCAGGAAACUGGGGCUAAUACCGGAUAGGAGCUCCUGCUGCAUGGUGGGGGUUGGAAAGUUUCGGCGGUUGGGGAUGGACUCGCGGCUUAUCAGCUUGUUGGUGGGGUAGUGGCUUACCAAGGCUUUGACGGGUAGCCGGCCGGAGAGGGUGACCGGCCCCUUUGGGCCUGGGAUACGCCCCGGACCCCUCCGGGCGGCGGCGGUGGGGUAUCUUCCACAGGGGGCGGAACCUUGAUGCACCAACCCCGUGUGGGGUGUGAGGCCCUUCGGUUUGAACCCCUUUUUCCCCUGAGACGAGGGGUGAUUGACGUUAAUGGGUAGAAAAGCCCCGCCUAACUCCGUC
rnacentral:rRNA from 1 species